AGUGUUUUAUAGGUUUUGUCUGUCUGUGACAGCUCUCCAUUGCAGUUUUUUCCCAACACCGUAUUUCCUCAAGAGGUCCUUGAACUGCUCUUCCCUGUCAGAGUCCCUACUUCUCACAGUUCCCUCAAUAAGUUCAUCACUCCAACUAUUUUCGACUCAUCUAAUGAAUCCCCACAGAAACAUCCAGAACAUGAGCAGGCAGGGCCUCUCUACGUUCACCAGACGAUCAGAAGAAACUGAUCUGGGAUCAGAUCUUCACCUUAUCAAGCAGCUCAGGUUGACCUCCACACUUUGCUAGGAC